rnacentral:lncRNA from 1 species
AUGGGAGGGAGGCGCCCCCCAUGGGCCGACAUAAGCAGCGCAGGCCUCCUGCUCCUUGUUUGCUGUGAAACCGGCAUGGCCUCUCCCUGGCCCACCGGGCGGCCUUCUUCCUCCCAGGCUGGGCGAGCCUGCGUGUCCCUUCAGGGCUGCAGAUUUGACUUCCUGCAGAUGGGCCAGAGUCCGUUCAGGCCGCCCGGACCUGGGACAGUCGGCUUUUUACUUCUUUUCACUGAGAUGACCGUCCUCACAGCGGCAGUUUUCCGCACUCGGGAUUCCCCACAGAGAUCUAGCUGGGCCUCCGGUGGGCUGGCCCACCAGACCCAGCCUCGGCUGCGCCAGGCCCGGGUUUGGGGCACACGAGAGACAGCGUCGGGACGGCCCUCUAAGCUGCCCUGUGGGAAACUCCCCUCCUGUGGCCCCCCGUGUGUGUCCGGCUGUUACGGCGUCUCUUCUGAAGCGGCCGUGGGCCCACUGAUCCCACAAGUCCACAGAGACAGUGACGUGUCUGGGGGCCGACGCAGGGCCGUGUGCAAGCACUUCCGAGGCGUCUGGAGGAAACGGGGGCCUCAGACGCAUCCAGAGCCCCCUUCAGCCUGGCAACGGGACACAGGCCUCUCCCGAGGGGCCACAGGCUCCUGAGGGCCUUGGGCGCGUGAGCCGGACGCCUGAGGUCGCCUGAGAUGGAGGGCCUCAUCAAUAAUUGAUUCUGCAGAAGGCGGGGGAGUCCAGCCAAGAGAGGAGAAAAGGUCCACGGCUCGCUCACUCGGAGCCCGGGGCCAGCGAAGCCCUGCAGAGGCCCUGCUCCCCACUGUGGGCCGGGGCUGGGGGCCUGCAGCAGGCGCCCCGCCAGGCGCCCUCCGGCACAGCGCCACGGGCAGGGCUACGGCACAGCUGUAUCGAUCACCCCGUUUUCCGGUUUUGCCUGCAGCUCCCUGGGGUUGAAGGAUGAUGGAUGACAGCUGGGGGGUCAUGAGGCCACAUCCCCACGUGAAGGGAGCCCUCCUCUGGCCCCCAAAGCUGGUGGGGAUGAAGGCGCACACAGCAGAGAAGCAGCGAAACACAGUCCCCCUUCCUGCUGUGUGAGACCAUCAGCAGUCACUCCCCACGCCUCCCAUCCCCGUCCCCAGGCGACCACCAGCCAACUUUCUGUCCCCAUAGGCUUGGUCUGUUCUGGACAUUUCAUGUAAACGGAGUCACACAAUAUGUGGUCUGUUAUGCCUGGUUUCUUCCACUUGGCAUAAUGCUUUCAAGGUUCGUGGAUAUUCAGCAUGCACUGGGACUGCAUUUUCUUUGAUGGUCAAAUAAUAUUCCAGCGUCAGGUUUCCAUCCCCCGGGUUCUGAGGCAUCGGAAGUUCUGAGUUCUGUCCAGCAGAGGGGGCUGUUGAGUCCCAGCGGCUCAUUGCAGCAAAGGGACCAGGUAGCCUUUGGGGAGGGGCUUGCCCGAACCGGGUGCUGGGUUCAAGAACCCCUAGGGCUGCUGCUGAGGGUACAUGAGGGUGUGUGUGUAUAUGUGUGUGUGUGAGAGAGAGAGAUUUUGAGAUUUUGAAAUGAAUUACAGAGCCUUGCCCCGGAAAAUGAUGGAAGUGGUAACGGAAAUAUCACCGACAAUCCCGCUUUGCUGUCCCAUUUUAGUUUCGGGGUGGAAAAAAAUCUGUCAGGAGCGAUGGAAAUGCUUGUUAACUGAUG